AAUAGAUACCCGGGUAGUCCAUGCCGUAAACGUUGGGCACUAGGUGUGGGGCUCAUUCCACGAGUUCCGUGCCGCAGCAAACGCAUUAAGUGCCCCGCCUGGGGAGUACGGCCGCAAGGCUAAAACUCAAAGGAAUUGACGGGGGCCCGCACAAGCGGCGGAGCAUGCGGAUUAAUUCGAUGCAACGCGAAGAACCUUACCAAGGCUUGACAUGCACGGGAAGCCACCAGAGAUGGUGGUCUCUUUGGACACUCGUGCACAGGUGGUGCAUGGUUGUCGUCAGCUCGUGUCGUGAGAUGUUGGGUUAAGUCCCGCAACGAGCGCAACCCUCGUCCCAUGUUGCCAGCGGGUUAUGCCGGGGACUCAUGGGAGACUGCCGGGGUCAACUCGGAGGAAGGUGGGGAUGACGUCAAAUCAUCAUGCCCCUUAUGUCUUGGGCUUCACGCAUGCUACAAUGGCCGGUACAAAGGGCUGCGAUACCGUAAGGUGGAGCGAAUCCCAAAAAGCCGGUCUCAGUUCGGAUUGGGGU
rnacentral:rRNA from 1 species